UACGUAGGUCCCGAGCGUUGUUCGGAUUUAUUGGGCGUAAAGCGAGCGCAGGUGGUUUAUUAAGUCUGGUGUAAAAGGCAGUGGCUCAACCAUUGUAUGCAUUGGAAACUGGUAGACUUGAGUGCAGGAGAGGAGAGUGGAAUUCCAUGUGUAGCGGUGUAAUGCGUAGAUAUAUGGAGGAACACCGGUGGCGAAAGCGGCUCUCUGGCCUGUAACUGACACUGAGGCUCGAAAGCGUGGGGAGCAAACAGG
rnacentral:rRNA from 1 species